rnacentral:rRNA from 1 species
CCUACGGGAGGCUGCAGUGAGGAAUAUUGGUCAAUGGACGAGAGUCUGAACCAGCCAAGUAGCGUGAAGGAUGACUGCCCUAUGGGUUGUAAACUUCUUUUAUAAAGGAAUAAAAUGAGGCACGUGUGCCUUUUUGCAUGUACUUUAUGAAUAAGGAUCGGCUAACUCCGUGCCAGCAGCCGCGGUAAUACGGAGGAUCCGAGCGUUAUCCGGAUUUAUUGGGUUUAAAGGGAGCGUAGAUGGGUUUUUAAGUCAGUGGUGAAAGUUUGCGGCUCAACCGUAGAAUUGCAGUUGAUACUGGGAGGCUUGAGUACGUUUGAGGCAGGCGGAAUGCGUGGUGUAGCGGUGAAAUGCAUAGAUAUCACGCAGAACCCCGAUUGCGAAGGCAGCUUACUAAGCUAUGACUGACGCUGAUGCACGAAAGUGUGGGUAUCGAACAGGAUUAGAUACCCCGGUAGUC